rnacentral:rRNA from 1 species
AUUGAACGCUGGCGGCAGGCCUAACACAUGCAAGUCGAGCGGCAGCGGGAAAGUAGCUUGCUACUGUUGCCGGCGAGCGGCGGACGGGUGGGUAAUGCCUGGGAAAUUGCGCAGCCGAGGGGGAUAACAGUUGGAAAGGACUGCUAAUACCGCAUACGCCCUACGGGGGAAAGCAGUGGACCUUCGGGCCUUGCACGAGUGUAUAUGCCCAGGUGGGAUUAGCCAGUUGGUGAGGUAAUGGCUCACCAAGGUGACGAUCCCUAGCUAGUCUGGGAGGAUGAUCAGCCACACUGGAACUGAGACACGGUCCAGACUCCUACGGGAGGCAGAAGUGGGGAAUAUUGCACAAUGGGGGAAACCCUGAUGCAGCCAUGCCGCGUGUGUGAAGAAGGCCUUCGGGUUGUAAAGCACUUUCAGCGAGGAGGAAAGGUUGAUGCCUAAUACGUAUCAAAUGUGACGUUACUCGCAGAAGAAGCACCGGCUAACUCCGUGCCAGCCGCCGCAGUAA